GACGAACGCUGGCGGCGUGCUUAACACAUGCAAGUCGAACGGAAAGGCCCUGCUUUUGUGGGGUGCUCGAGUGGCGAACGGGUGAGUAACACGUGAGUAACCUGCCCUUGACUUUGGGAUAACUUCAGGAAACUGGGGCUAAUACCGGAUAGGAGCUCCUGCUGCAUGGUGGGGGUUGGAAAGUUUCGGCGGGUGGGGAUGGACUCGCGGCUUAUCAGCUUGUUGGUGGGGUAGUGGCUUACCAAGGCUUUGACGGGUAUCCGGCCUGAGAGGGUGACCGGCCACAUUGGGACUGAGAUACGGCCCAGACUCCUACGGGAGGCAGCAGUGGGGAAUAUUGCACAAUGGGCGGAAGCCUGAUGCAGCAACGCCGCGUGCGGGAUGACGGCCUUCGGGUUGUAAACCGCUUUCGCCUGUGACGAAGCGUGAGUGACGGUAAUGGGUAAAGAAGCACCGGCUAACUACGUG
rnacentral:rRNA from 1 species